rnacentral:lncRNA from 1 species
GCAAAAGAGGGCUCAGUUUUGCCUUUCGUCUUCAAGCCCAACACUCACAUCUCUUGCUGCAUAAUCUACCCAUCGCGAAUGUAUAAGAACUGUCCUGGUUAUCAUUCAUCAGAAUGACCGUCCAAGGCGCAGAACAUAAAACAUUAGCAAUGAAUUGAACAGGCUGCAAGAGAGGUAAGGGUGUGCUCUAAUUUAGUACCCAUAGGCCACAGUUGUCUUAAUUGCUCAAGACACGCUUAUUUCAGCCACGGUCAUCAUCAUCGCCCCUGGUAAGAACUCCAUCUCUUCAUCACACAGUAGCAUGCAUACAUCAUCUAUCCAUCCAUCAGGCUGGUCAUAGUGGUAAGUAAAUUGUGCAUCCAUGAUAUCCAUUACAGGUAUGCACGCAUCCAUCCAUCCUCUUUAAUUACUUGUCGGAUCAUCUUUUUUGCCUAUGUGGCAUGCAUGUUACUACUCCCUCCGUUCCAUAAUUACUGUCGUGGCUUUAGUUCAAUCUGAACUAAAACCUAAGUUACUCCCACUAUGACUAGUCCCAGUCUCAGGAGCUGCUCACUGACCAAACCUCCGAGUGUGGACGACGCAUCAGACAACGCCUUACGGUUCCCAGCCCACGCCACAACUAAAUCCAAGGCAAUGGAAUGGCAGUGGCUGGCAGCACCGUAGAGACGGAGAACUGACGUGGCAGCCACCCGGGCGAUGGGGUAGCAAGUCGGCAAUGAGAGCUUGACUGGUUUGUUUUAGAGAGAGAGAGAGAGAGAGAGAGAGAGGCGAGGAGGAUCCAUACCGGAUCCAAAACAAAAUGCAACUGAACUGAGUAUAUGUAGCAUAGCAAAAGAGGGCUCAGUUUUGCAUUUCAUCUUCAAACCCAACACUCGCAUCUCUUGCUCCAUAAUCCACCCAUCGCAGUGUAAGAGAACUGCACUGGUAAUCACUCGUCAGAACGACCGUCCAAAGGGACAGAACAUCCAACAUUGGCAAUGAAUUGGACAGGCUGCAAGAGAGGUAAGGGUGGGCUCUAAGAGCAACUCCAACAAGGAUACCGAUUUUCUGGCACUGCUUAGUCCCACCUCGCCGAGCUGUCUUGAUUGCUCAAGACAUGAUUAUUUCAGCCACAGUCAUCAUCAUCGGCAUCACCCCUCUUUUUUUUCCAAAAAGGAGGUUGAACCCCCAAGCAACAUGACCAUGAUAUCCGUACAUACAUACUCCCUCCGUUCCAAACUAAGUGUCAUGGUUUUAGUACACGACACAUUAAUGCAGCCAUCCUUCUCAGGAGCUGCUCAUACCUGGCGUCGGCCGACCAAACUUCCCAGUGCGGAGCACGCAUCAGACAACACCGUGCGGUUCCUCCCAGCCCACGCCACAACCAAACCCAAGGCAAUGGAGCAGCGGUGGCUGGCGGCACUGUAGCGGUGGGGAACUGACGCUGGUCGGCGAUCCGGCAACGAGAGCUCGCCUGAUUUGGUUCUGGUGGUGUGAACUGCACGCGCGCACGCACGCACCGAGAGAGAGAGAGAGAGAGAGAGAGAGAGAGAGAGAGAUGGGGACCGUACCGGAUCCAAAGCGAAACGCAGCCAAGCUGCGAGAAAUCCAUGGACGGCGGCUCAGAUCCCGCGCCGGCCCGACCAAGCCCUCGACCGGAGCGCACCACGGGCACCAGCAGCCCGCACGGCCGCGGACGCCUCCCGCACCGGCGGCAGUCCCGAGGGGCCUGCGAGCCGAUGCGCGAUCCGUCGCAGCGGGAGGGGCUGGCCCCGAGGGAGCGGCGACGCGGCGCGUCCGUCGGUCGGUAGCUGGCCGGCGCCGGCGGCUCCCUCCGUCAUCGCCGCCGUCAGGAGAGGGACGCGGUCAUCGGCCACGGCGAGAGGGACGGGCGCGGCGGCAGGAUUCGGUGAGAUAUGGAUAGAGCGCUCGCAUGCUAUGCUCCGCCCCGCGCGCAGCCAUGCCGCCGGUGGCCUCUCGCAGCCGGAGUGGUCCGAGGCAUAGCUAGCUAGCUAGGGUUCGGCGCCGGCGGGAGAAGAUGGGUCCAGAUCCAGGUCCGGCUGUAGAUGCUGUAAAUAAGGACCAGUGAAAGGGUCAUUUAGCAAAAACAAUACUACUACUCCAAAUGCAUGGAGGGGAAGGGGAAUGAGAGCACGUGUUGAGGUGAGGGGAGGGGAAGAAGGAUGAAAGCAGCCUGAGGGGAGGGCAGGCGUGCCCUAGAGUCAGACCGAGUGCACGUGUCCCGUGUUGUGCCUUGACGGUCAGUCGAACAUAAAAAUUGAAAAAAAAAACAUACAUAAAUCUUCGUGUAAAAUCAAUGAUAGAAUUUAGAUGUGCAAUGCGUAGAGUACAUCUAGAUGUGCUUUAGCAAAAUCGUUUUCUCGUGUCCUCUCCAUCAAAGACAUUGUUUAACUUAGGCCAACCUCAACGCGGGCGCUCCAACGGACGCGGAUGUUGCCCUUUUUUGUAUGUUUGGGUUGGCUAGGCAAACGGUCAAUGUUCGAUUUUUGUCCGCCGAACCAUAGAUUAGCCCAACGCGGACGACAGAUUUCAGAAUUAUAAAAAACUAGAGCCAAGAAAAAAAAUAAUGAAAUAGCCACCAGAAGUCCAGUUUACAUAAAUUAAAAUGAAAACAUAAAAAAAAUGAAAAUGAAAACAGGCACACGGUGGAUGCAGGCAGUGGCGGCGGCGUCAUCCUUCUCGGUCAAGUCGACGUACACCGGCGCAUCCAUCCACGAAGGCUGCUAGCGCCGCGCUGCACCUGUCGCCGCCUGCUGGACCGGUUGAGUGGUGUGUACAUGUGUGUCGUCUGCUGCUUGGCUACCAACGACGCGUGUCUCGGCCUCCUACAGGUGUCGUUGCUUCUCCUCUUCGUCACGCCUAGCGGAACAGGCGUGCCCAUGAAAUUGAACGCCGCAACUCCUCGAGCACAUGCGAUGCUUGCGGGUAAACCUGGGCAAACGUCGGGCCGGGCUUGUAAAAGCCCGACCUUCAUUUCUCAAGCCCGAGCCCGGCCCGAAGCCCGAAAUACUCCCUGAAAUCAAGCCCGAGCCCGGCCCGAAAUCAAGCCCGAAGCCCGAAAGCCCGGCCCGAACGCUGUUUUUUAGUACGUGUACGUGCAAGCCCGGCCCGAAGCCCGAAAGCCCGGCCCGAAAAAUAGAAAAAGACAAGCCCGAGCCCGGCCCGAACUACCUUUCGGGCUGCAAAACAAAGCCCGAGCCCGGCCCGAGUGUCAAGCCCGGCCCAACCCGGCCCGGGUUUUUCGGGCCGGGCUCGGGCCGGGCUGCCCAUGCCCGGGUUUACUUGCGGGUGUGGCCGCGGCCCGUUGGUCUCCACGCCGGUCGUUUAACUAAUUAAUGUUGAACCUUAUACUCCCACUAUUCCUUAAUACAGUGCAUAUAUGUUAUCUUAAAAGCCAAACUUUAUUAACUUUGACCAAGUUUAUAGAGAAUAAAAUACUUUAUAUAAUAAGAUGGACUAUCUCAUAUUAUUAUGUAUGUGAUAUUGUAGCUGUAGAUAAUUUCACCCAUAAACAUGUUUAGAGUUGACUCCUAAAAUAAUUUAUAUACACUAGAAGUAUUAAGCCUAAAACCUUACACACUCAAGACCACUUGUACCAUCGUUCAGGACAAAGGCCACUUCAAAGUUAUUGAUCCUAGGCCCCACGAUCAGCAGGCAUCGGCCUGGCUCGAUGAGAAUUUUGGGGGCCAUUGCUUUGGUUGAAGGAGAUUUACAUCUCCCACAAGGACCGGACGUGAAUACCCCGCAAAAAGAAAAGGACCGGACUUGAAGCACGAGAUGUGAUGUGUCCUCAUCCUAAUACUCUUUCGCUUUAUGUAUUUUCAACUUGUCUAGAUCACUCUCAUCGGUGUUAUUAAGCCAAAUCAUCAUUUCAUCUCAAGACUCAAUCUACAUGUGCCCAUCAUGUACCCCAACAAACGAGCAUAAACCCCCACCGAACCAGCCUAGACAAAGAUUACACCAAAAAGCGACGAGUCGGCCCACUGCAUGAAAUGCAGAAGAAAAGAACUGGCUUCGUGGUGGACCAAUAUGUCAAAGCCCAAUACCGCAAACCGGAAGGCCAUGGCUUCCCUAACAAUGCUCAUCUCUUGGGUUAUUUGAAACGAGAGAAAUUCUAGUGUUUAGAAAGAAAUCCACUAACAUUGUCAUGCUUAUCCACCCCUUCUACAUUCUCAAGCUCAUCCAGGACGAGGCAAGGCUUUUGGAUCACAGCGGGAGGUAGGCAUCUGAGCAUCAUCAUGCCGCACUUUUUUGUGUUGGUAGGUGUUCGUGAUGUAUAGUUAUCUCUAUUGGGCUAUGAUGUGGAACCAAUGUGAUGUGGAGUCAAGAAUACCAACAUGAGCAAAAUCCAGUUAGGUAGUUAUCGCAGAGAAAAAUACACCCUCUGUACUAAAUUUAAGCCGUUAAUAGGCCAUUAAAUUCUAGCUCUGCAUAACCCGGCAAUCCGGCCCAUGGGCACCCGAACCGAAUAAUAUUUAUAUGUAUAGAUUGUACUCCCUCCUUCCGGGAAAAGUUGUCACCGUGGCUUUUUUGCAAAAAAAAAAACCUUUGCUUUAGUCCGACACAACCCGCACUCCUCCGCCGCUCCUCUGCUCUGCUCAGCUCUACUCAGCUCCCUCGCUCGUCCUCCGCCGCAGCUCCCCUGCUCCGCUGCCUGUCCCCUCCUCCGCCGCCUCCCUGCUCCCGGUCCAUUUCCCCGUGCAGCUCCCGCCUCCCAUACCUAAAAAUCAUGUCUUCCCCCAAUCAACGGCAGCGAGGACGAAGCGGCGCUCGAUCUAGAGGGCACGGGGACGAGGGCAGCGACAAGUGUAGUUCUUAAUGAUGCAGAGCGCGGUGGAUGCUCCGGUGGGCUUCUACGGUGAACUCCAUCCUCUCCCUCCCCACCACCAGGACCACCUCCGGUCGCUCCCUUCCGCCCCGCGCCGCAACCACCCUCCCCUUCCCAAGAACCAUCGCCAGACCAUGUUCAUGUCGUCGGAAGGCGGGAGCACCAACGGCUCGUUGCUGGGGCUUCCCCCCUGGACGAGGAGGAGGACAACGAGGCCUGCCCCGUCAAUGGUUGCUGCUGAAUUGCAGUAUUCCUCGGGUCACGACGGUUGCUGUAUGUCCCAAUGUCAAAGGUUUGACAUUUGUUGCUGCUGAAUUGCAGUAUUCCCCGGGUAACGACGGUUGCUGCAUGUCCCAAUGUCAAAGGUUUGACAUUUGUUGCUGCUGAAUUGCAGUAUUCCUCGGGUCACGACGGUUGCUGUAUGUCCCAAUGUCAAAGGUUUGACAUUUGUUGCUGCUGAAUUAUGAAUUCUCAUCCUCUUUUCUUGUUGAUGUUGAAUGCUAAAUUCCGGCGAGCAGCUCCUCAGGUCGCCGGGCUUCUGGUGAAGAUCUUCGUGUGGGUCCUCGAGAUGCCGGUGGUGGGCUGGAUCUUGCUCUACAUCCUCAAGAAGGACAAUCUCAUCAACAAGGUGCAUGCACUUGUGCUGAAUGUUUUUUUAUGCCUGAGCGUCGCAAUUCUGAUUCUCAAUUCUACUCGCAUGUGUACGAUGUUUGUUCACCUGUAGGCAUUGAUCAGUACAGUUUCACCAAAGCAAUCUCUGGGCACAGUUAUUUUACAGCAGACAAUUCACUCUUCUGUGGUGUUUUUACUUUUUGCUGAAAUGCUCUGCUGAUUCAGAAAAACCAUUAGCUGCUGUUGCUGCAGACACCCUAGCCAAAUUCAGUUAACUUAAUCUGAAUAAUUCAGUUAACUUAACAGGGGAGCGUGUGUAUGCUGCGAACGAAUGCAUUUACUGAAUGUUAUUUUGAGGGACAUGUUUUUAUCAACUCUUAGUUAAGAUAAAUUAACCGUGUAAGGUGCUCUUUUGAUUACUAGUGAAGUGCUGCUCUAAAUAUCAUUGCAGCAAGAAAAACUUCAGUUUACUACAGUUUUCAGUUUGGAAUAGUGCACAAAAGACAAAUAGAUUCCUAUGCACUAUUGUGCGCUAUUCGGAGCACAAUUCAGUGUACUGCAGUUUAUUGCAUAAUUGUGCACUUUUUUAACACAUAACUUAGUCUGAAAAAAAAUUAAAAGCAACAAUGUCUAUUCCUGCUACCCUAGUUGAUCUAGUUAUGCAAAUGUUCAGAAAUGUCCAGUUUGUACAUUUUGAAAAAAGGCUGCCAUGGCCACAAAGGAUGCCAUGCAAGAUUGUUCACUUAAACUUCACUGUACAGCAACUUAAAUUUUGUGCAUCUACUGUUUACUCCACUGUACAAACUUGAAUUUGUGUGACAUGAGCUUUUGUUGGUUGCUACUCCACUAGAUAUUGACUGAUUAGACUAAACUGUAGGAUAGUGGUGCUGGUCCAUCUAGGGCACUACUCCCAUUUUUGCUCACAAUUAUUCAGAUAAGGACUACUCCUAGUAACAAAACAGAUCAUUUACUGAAAAUAGCUCUACAUAUUUUAGCAAUAGCUCUACAUUUACUGAAAAUAAACUUGAUGUACUGAGAAGAAACUUGGGCAUUGUUUACUGAAAAUAAACUUUAUCUACUGAAAAUAAACAAUCACUGAUCAGCAGCAGUUCUCAUCACCAUGAUAAGAUAAGCCAGAUGCUCUAUUUUUAAUUAACAGUAAUCCAUGAUCAGCAGCAGUUUCUUUCACUAAUUUUCAGUUAACAACAAUCCAUGAUUUUUUUUAUCAAGUGUGAUUUUGGGUAAAUAAGCCCUCUGUAAUUUAGAUCUUUACUACUGUCAAGUCUGACUUGUCAAUGAGAAACCAGUAACUAGUCAAUGUCAAAACUGUGAAAACUGAAAACAAAUUCAGUAAAUUUGAUCUUUUAUGCUGCAUUGCUGAAAAUUGACAGUAAAUUUUCAUGUACUGAAAUGAAGGCUCAAUGCUGCAUUGCUGACUGGAUAAAUUCAUUGCUGAACAAUUUCUGAACUUUAAUUUGUUCAUUGCGUAUAUGAAGGCUCUCUAGCACAUCAGGAUGAUCCACUCAUCAAAUUACAGACUAGAUGAUCCGCUGCUACUCUAAUUCACCUCAAUUUGAUCUGCACAACAAAUUAACAUCAAUUUGACAUUGAUUUCAGGGCGCUGGCUACCUUUCAGUAGCAGCAGAGGCGGCGAGGAGGAGCUGGGUCGCCUGGACGAAGAAGAAGAAAUCGGCAAGGAGGAAAGGGUGGGCGGCGGUGGUCGCCUCUGUAGCAGGUGGGCGGCGGCGUUGGGCCCUACAGUGUUUGCGCUGGUCACCUCGGUGCACGGCAGUGGAGCAGCGGCUGCCCGAGGUCUUGCCCAACUCCCACAGCAGAGUGCCCGGCCUUGGCACGCCGGGGUUGCGACCGGAGAUGCCGGGGUUGCGACCGGAGAUGCGAGCAGAACGACGAGUAGAGCCGCCCAUGAGCCGUGGAAUCACCGCCCGUCGAGGUGUCGCCGCGGAGGAGCAGGUGGGCGGCGGCAAAGCUCGCCUCCGCAGCGCAACUAGGCAAGGGCGGCGCAAGAUGGCAGCUGCGGGGCAGGUGGGCGGCGGCGCAAGUGGGACUUCAUCACGCGGUGCUCGCAGGCGAUGGGGGGAGACGAAGGCUAGAGCAUGCGGUGCCGGCGGGCGUCAGGGGAGGAAGAAGGGCUGAUUAGAACUAGAUUUAAAAUGAAAGGUUUUUUUUGUAAAGUUACAAUUGAACUACGCUGGUGACAACUUUUCCCGGACGGAGGGAGUAUAUUGGUAGUACAGUUGCAUCGAGGGGUAACGCAUAAAGCCAAGCCACUGACGUUAGCUAUCAAAAAUUUCAUUCCAAGCCAUGACAACUAAUAUUCUCGCACUCGGUUGCAUCCAAAUGGACAAGCAUGCUACCAGAUUGACCAUAUGGAUUACAGCACCGCCAACCACUUGUAUAUAUGACUUGAACAGGCAUCAGCCCAGAGAAGGGUGGACAUAUAAAAAAGCUUCAUUGCUGCUCCAAGGCAUACUUAUUACAACUAAUCAGAAAGCAUCAUCAGAACUAAUCAGACUUGAAGUACUUCAUGGUGGUAGUUCAUACUCUUGUAGCUUGUGAUUAUCUAAUAUCAAGAUUUCUAGGCGGGCAAUUUUAUUCAUAUACGUUUCAUGAAAAUUAUGUCGUUAAAGGAGGUAGUAGUUCAAGGUAGCCCACUGAAAGCUAAGGAAUUAACCACAUAGGAGAUCAAGAUGUAGAAUACACUGAAGUUCAAAUGAACAUAUUACUGGAAAUAUCAACGGUGCAUAGAAAGGGGGCAACACACAAGAGGCAAACAUAGACAUAUAUAGGGGAGGAGUGCUGCAGAUUAGGCUGCACCCCUGUGGGCCCUGGGAGUAAGCAUGUAGGCACGCAAUAUCCAACGCAUUCAUAUGGGCAAACCCCACUCUAUAUCCGAUACACUUGGCGAUCCGCGUUGCAGAUGCUCUUACACCCCUGUGUGACAUUUCAGCAUUCAAAUGGUUGCUCACUGAAAGCAAGCCAUCCCAAUUUGCACGCUUCCACCUAGUCACACAAAACCCUAACCCUAACACAUACCAUAAAUACAAGUGAUGGUAUCUGAUCUCAAUACACCUCUGAAUGAGCCUUACUCAUCAUCGCCAUCAACAGCACUUUGGCGCAAAUCCCACAAAGAGAACAACAGAGAAGCCAAUAGUCAAAGAGCGCAAGAUGGCAAGGAACCACAGGAGAAUCAGUAAAAGCAGAAAGAAUCACUAUAUCAGGAGCAAAUCAUGAACUGGUGGACACAAAAACUGGGACAUGUAUAAGUAAAUGGCUCAGAUACACUCCCAUCUCAACACUAUAACUGAAUUUCUGGUAGAAUGACCAUGAACAUUUAUAUUUGUGAACGGAGGGAAUAACAGUUAAGAAGGGAGCCUUGGAGCAGCGGUAAAGCUGUAGCCUUGUAACCUUGAGGUCAUGGGUUCGAGUCCUGGAAACAGCCUCUUGCAGAAAUGUAGGGAAAGGCUGCGUACUAUAGAUCCAAAGCGAUUGGACCCUUCCCCGGACCCUGUGCAAGCAGGAGCUACGUGCACCGGACUGCCCUUUAGGGAGUAAUAGUUAGCCGCUAAACUGGUUACUUGCUGUGACACAAGCCAUCCUAGUUUAGCACCAAGUAAAUCGAUUCAGGUGUUAAGAUAGAAGCUCUCACAGGGAGGUUAUAUCAUCACAGCCAUUCAUGAACAUGAUACGAAGAAAACAGUAAUCUUGACAGCUGAACUUGCCCUAUACGACCCUUAAGUUGAAACCAGUAAAGAAGUAACGCGAAACCAAAAGUACAAACUGAUAAGUAGAUAAAGAGUACAAUAGAAGGAUGAAAUUAUCAAGUCAAAUAGCAAUUGAAACAAGCAAACUGACCCAGCACCAAAUAAGAUAGUUUCAAAAGCCAUCCAAGGGACAGCAGAAUUAUCAUAGCCAUUCAAGAAGAAGGAAGAAACGGAAAAAGGAAAAAAAACAGAAGAAAUAAUUAAGUGUGGCUGGAGUACUGUUCCUAAAACAACAGAACUCGUUGACUACUGCAAAACCAACAAAAUGUGUAGGAAAAAAGGAAAAACAGUCCCUUGCAUCCACCAGACCAUGAUUUUACCGAAAGAACUAAUAUCAUAACCAAACUCUCAACAUAUCUUUAACAUAUACAUGGAUGCGAGCAAGCAAGAAAUACAAAUUCUCAGAAAGGAAAAGAUCAGUUCAAAUUUUGGGAAGGAAACACUUAUUUUUACUCAGAACUUUAUUGGGCGGGAGUCUCGGAAUUGGCCAAUUUAUAGAAGGUAGUCAUGGUAUUUUUGCAACAAGAGAUUAUAAGAGGUAGAUACAGGCUUAUGACAACAUUGUGUUUUUCCACGUAUUGCCUUCUAUAAGCAAUUAAAAUGGUCAUCAGCAGAAAGCAAACCGUGCAAAUUGUAUUCCUUGAGACCAGUUAGCAGUUGCUGUGCUGGACCAAAACAGUAGAAAAGAAGUUUGACAACUUGCCAACUUGAAUGUACAUCACUGCCAAAAGAACCAGUAAAAAUUUAAUAGGGGUAGUAAAUAAGGACAUGGAAUAUGACCAAAGAACUAGCCAUGGGCAAUUGGGCAGGGGUGCGAGGAAGCUAGCUAUCCAUGUGCCAGAACCAUGAGUUGGUUGCGAGAUCCUAUGGGUUUGCUGUUUUCCAUGUGCCAGCUCUAGCCUACCCCAACUUGUUUGGAACUAAAGGCUUUGCUGUUGUUGUUGGUAGUAAAGGAGGACAUGCACAGAUCAUCUUCCGCAUAUUUAACCACUCAACAGAAUGACCAUCCAAGACAGAGCCAUCAAUAUUCGGUCAGAAUGAAAAGGUCAUAAAAGAGGGGAGAGCGUUUUUUUAAUACCCACGGCUCCUCGAAUAAUCGAAGACAGGUUUAUUGUCAGCCAAGUUUGAUCAUCAUCGCCCCUUAUAAAUAGAUAGAGAGAUCCCUUUGCGCAUGCAACAGGUAAGGGUGAAAAGUCGGUUGGACCAGAUACAGAAUAUCUGCAGCUAAGCACAGUAUCAGCAGCUGGAGGGCGAUUAGAACAUGAGGAAUAGUUCACAAAAUCCUGGGGAAUUUUUGGGGAGUACUAUUUGAAUGAGUGACUCAAACACCAUGAAUCACCAAAGUUGGGAAAUGCUUCAGGUGGUACAAAGUACUGGGAAAUUUUUGGGGAGUACUAUUUGAAUGAAUGAAGUGGUACCAUAAACAAUAAAAUAUCUGUCUCCCUCUCCCUCUCUCUCUCCAGCAACAAAUUGCCGCAACUAGUAACUUGCUGCAGCGCAAGGCCUCCUAGUUUAACGACCAGCUGUCUAACUGGGCAAAUUUGAAUGGAACCAACCUAGGAGACGUGAAAGCAUCUCUAUCACAAGAUAGUUGAAAGAUCUCCAACGCCAAGGGGCAGAAAUCACCAUAGCCAUUCAGAAAAUAAUAAAACUCAUCAACACACAACGGAAACAAAUAUGCUGUGUUCAGAAGUUAACUUGGAACACUGCACUGAUGUCCGUAUUACUGGCAACGAAAGAAGCAAUUGACAUUUGUACACUUCAGAUAAAAGGAGUAACUACAAGCCAAAUAAAAAUAGGAUGACAUAAACUUUCCGUUUUGAAACAGCAGAAAAGCAUAAGCUUGCAAAAAGGGAUGCACAUAAUACAAACAGAAAACAGGAAAUGCAGCUCGCCCGUUUAUCCCAUGAAAAAUGGGUUCUAAUGCUAAAUAGUCAGACAUGUAACACUGGAUAGUGGCAAUACUAUUCCACCAUGAAACUGAACAGCGGUCAGUCCAACCUCUGGCAAAAUGAAAACACAGCCAAAUCAAGAAUACUGAAUAAAAUUUAAAAUAUAUAAUGAGAAGAGGGCCAACCGCCAACAUAUAAAUCCCAAAUGACUCAAGCAAAAGCUCCAGGAGGACAUCCAGUUAUGAUAAGACAAAAUCAAGGUUUUUGAGUCGAUGAGUCGGCGAGUCGCUCAGGGGGGGCGACUCUAGACUAGUCGUGACUCAUGGUCGACGAGUCGACAUGCGAUGAGUCGACGUGAGUUAAGUAGUAGGGAGCAGACCAGCGGCAACUAAGGGAGGAGCCGCAGCAGCAAGAGAUGGGAGGGGCAGACCUGCAGUAGCAGCAACCAAGGGAUGAGCAGCAGCAACCAGGGGAGAAGGGGACGAGCAGCCAGCCAGCGGCAGCGGCUGCUGCAGAAGAGAGCUGGGUCGGGGGAGGGGAGUGGAACUGUUCGAUCUAGGUUUCCAGACGCUCCAAUCUUCCUUCAAUAUUGGCCCAGAAGCAAUAUUAGCCCAAUAAGGCCCAAUGAAACCCUAGCCUGCCUAGCUCAAUCUGAACCAUCUAUAUUCUCUAAUCUUCACCGUCCAUCCACUCUCUUCUUUCUCUCUCUCUCACCUGCUCCCCUUCCAGCCUCCAGGAACGAAUCGACAGCCGCAAUGGCCUUGCUGCAGCUCCUCUUCCAUGGCUUCUCUGCCUUCGCCCCUUCCUCUCCGCCUCCCCCAUCCUUCUCUGCUCCGUUUUCUACGCCCAACUCCUCUUCCAUCACAGGUUGAUCGAGUCGUUCGACUCAAAAACCGCGACUAGUCGAGACUAGUCGGGACUAGUCGAUCAAGUCGCUCGACUCAUCCAAUGAUUCGAGUCGACAGGUUGAGUCAACCUUCAUGUAACGACUCGUCGACUAGUCGACGACUAGUCGCGACUAGUCGUUCGACUCGAAAUCCAUGGACAAAAUAUAAGAGCCUUUCUAACAAAUACACUUUUGCAGUUGAUAAAUUUAUUUGACACUCAUUUCGAAUCCGUGCAAGGGAUCUGUGCCACGUUGAUGCAUCAGAAAUGUGGCAGUUAAUAUUGACAGCAGCAGCUAAAGAAUAGACUAACUACCAAUGAACUAAAUAGCAUAGAGAAUCAUAACAAAAGGUCUGCUCUGACCAAAACAAAUAUGAAGGUAAUAUGAGCUUCAGAUUAUAAAAAACAGAGACAUAGCAGAUCAAAGGGCAAUCGAUAACCAGAUGAAUAGAACUGUCAAUAGCUACAAGCAUUGGAGGAAAAAAGGGCAAUCGUUUGACUCAUAUAUAGUACGUACAACUAGAAAGGCAAAAACGAUGCCAACUAGAAACCAACCCAAGUAAAGCUAGGGUUGUUGGGUUCGUCACCAAGAGAAGAUAUCAAUCCAGAUCCGGAUCUCACAUCAACACAAUAGAGAAAUAGAAAAUUAAAAACAAUGUAUAGUGGAGAAAAAAAAACUGAGUAUUUGUAGCGUAGCAAGAGGGCUCAGUUUUGCCUUUUAUCUUGAAGCCCAACACUCACGUCUCUUGCUGCAUAACCUACCCAUCGCGAUGUAAUUGAACUGCCCUGGUUAUCACUCAUCAGAAUGACCAUCCGAGGCGCAGAACAUCCAACAUUAGCCAUGAAUUGAAUAGGCUGCAAGAGAAGUAAGGGUGAGAGCUCUUAAGGGCAUCUCCAACGCCGGCACCCAUUUGGGGCCUAUUUAGUACCCACAUGCCACGGCUGUCUUGAUUGCUCAACACAUAAUUAUUUCAGCCGCAGGCAUCAUCAUCGCCCUUUUUUUUUAAAAAAAAAAAGGUCAAACCCCCCAAGCAACAUGACCAUAACAUCCAUCAUCCAUCCAUCCAUUCAUCCAUCAGACUAGCCAUAGUGGUGAGUAACUUAGACAAUCUCAGGAGCUGCUCAUACCUGGCCUUGACCGACCAAACCUCCUGGUGUGGACGACACAUCAGACAACGCCUUACGGUUCCCAGCCACGCCACAACCAAAUCCAAGGCAAUGGACUGGCGGCGGCUGGCAGCACCGUAGAGACCGGGAACUGACAUGGCAGCUACCCGGACGAUGGGUCAGCGAGUCGGCAAUGAAAGCUUGACUGAUUUGUUUAAGGGAGAGANNNNNNNNNNNNNNNNNNNNNNNNNNNNNNNNNNNNNNNNNNNNNNNNNNNNNNNNNNNNNNNNNNNNNNNNNNNNNNNNNNNNNNNNNNNNNNNNNNNNNNNNNNNNNNNNNNNNNNNNNNNNNNNNNNNNNNNNNNNNNNNNNNNNNNNNNNNNNNNNNNNNNNNNNNNNNNNNNNNNNNNNNNNNNNNNNNNNNNNNNNNNNNNNNNNNNNNNNNNNNNNNNNNNNNNNNNNNNNNNNNNNNNNNNNNNNNNNNNNNNNNNNNNNNNNNNNNNNNNNNNNNNNNNNNNNNNNNNNNNNNNNNNNNNCUCAGUUUUGCAUUUCAUCUUCAAACCCAACACUCACAUCUCUUGCUGCAUAAUCUACCCAUCACAAUGUAAGAGAACUGCCCUGGUUAUCACUCAUCAGAAUGACCGUCCAAGGUGCAGAACAUCCAACAUUACCGAUGAAUUGAACAGGCUGCAAGGGAGGUAAGGGUGGGCUCUAAUUUAGUACCCACAGGCCAGUCAUCAUCAUCGCCCCUCAUUUUUUACCGAAAAGGAGGUUGUACCCCCGGCCUUUGCCCACCAAGCAAGAUGACCCUCAUAUCCAUACAUACAUACUCCCUCUGUAAAGAAAUAUAAGAGCGCUUAGAUCAUGCUCCCUCCGUUUCUAAAUAUAAGCCUUUAUAGAGAUUCCAAUAUGGACUACAUACGGAGCAAAAUGAGUGAAUUUACAUGCGUGCACAUGUCCACCCAUCCAACCCCAUCAGCCUCAGGAGCUACUCAUGCCUGGCCUGGACCGAACAACCAAACCUGAUGACGCCCCAGAUAACACCGUAUGGUUCCCGGCUCACGCCACAGCCAAUUCCAAGGCAAUGGAACGGCAGAGGCUGGCAGCACCGCAGCAGUGAACUGAAGAGGGCACCACCCAGACGAUUGGACAGCGAGUUGGCAAUGAGAGCUCGACUGAUUUGGCUUAGGGUUAGAGGUAGAGGGGUGGGGGUAUAUGUAGCAUAGCAAAAGAGGCUCAGUUUUGUCUUCCAUCUUCAAGCCCAAACCCUCACCAUCUCUUGCUGCAUAAUCUACCCAUCACGAUGUAAGAGAACUGCCAUGGUUAUCACUCAACAGAAUGACCAUCCGAGGCACAAAGCAACCAACAUCAGCAAUGAAUUGGACAGGCUGCAAGAGAG